GGUCCUAUAGUUUAACGGACAGAACAAUCCCUUCCUAAGGGAUAGGUCGGGGUUCGAUUCCCUGUGGGACCG
rnacentral:tRNA from 1 species